rnacentral:rRNA from 1 species
UGGGGAAUAUUGCACAAUGGGGGGAAACCCGUAGAUGCAGCGACGCCGCGUGAGUGAAGAAGUAUUUCGGUAUGUAAAGCUCUAUCAGCAGGGAAGAAAAUGACGGUACCUGACUAAGAAGCCCCGGCUAACUACGUGCCAGCAGCCGCGGUAAUACGUAGGGGGCAAGCGUUAUCCGGAUUUACUGGGUGUAAAGGGAGCGUAGACGGCGAUGCAAGUCUGAAGUGAAAUCCCCCGGGCUCAACCUGGGGAACAGCAUACUAAACUGGUGGACUAGAGUAUUGCAGGGGGAGACGGAAUUCCAGGUGUAGCGGUGGAAUGCGUAGAUAUCUGGAAGAACACCAAAGGCGAAGGCAGUCUCCUGGGGCAAAUACUGACGCUCAUAUGCGAAAGCGUGGAUAGCAAACAGGAUUAGAUACCCUGGUAGU